UACGGAGGGUGCAAGCGUUAAUCGGAAUUACUGGGCGUAAAGCGCGCGUAGGCGGCAUGGUCAGUUGGGUGUGAAAGCCCCGGGCUUAACCUGGGAACUGCAUUCAAUACUGCCAAGCUAGAGUAUGAGAGAGGGAGGUAGAAUUCCACGUGUAGCGGUGAAAUGCGUAGAUAUGUGGAGGAAUACCGGUGGCGAAGGCGGCCUCCUGGCUUAAUACUGACGCUGAGGUACGAAAGCAUGGGGAGCAAACAGG
rnacentral:misc_RNA from 1 species